rnacentral:lncRNA from 1 species
CCCCUUAGGUUAAAAUAGCUUAUUAUUUAUAUGCUUAGAAGGAGCAAUCACGUGACACCAAUAAAAGGAAUCCAGCCAGUAGCAUCUUGACACAUCAUCAAAUAAAAAAAAUAAAAAGCUGUAGCACCCAUGUAUAUUAAAGAAAGGCUGGUCACGUGUGCUGAUGCAUGCUGACGUCAUGUGCGUUGUAAGCCAAAAUCGUGCCGCGAUCGGAAUAGCACAGGGACGCGAAAAUUACAGGAGCUGAAGGCGUGUCAAUGUUUAAAACUUUGGAAAUUUUCUAAGUGUUUUUCCUUUUUUUUCUUCUUUUGUCUUCAA